rnacentral:lncRNA from 1 species
CACAUGUCAUCACUUUAAUACUGUGUAAUACUUUCUUUUAAAAUACAGUCUCUUCUGAGGUAGACAGACCACAACUGCAGAGCAUCGUCAGACAGGAGAUAAAUACGUCCAUGUACAACACGCAGCAAAAUGAGGUAGAAAUGGUUACAGCGGGAGGAGAGGAUCCCAGCCCCAGUCUGGGUAGAGGAAGGGGAGAGGCCAGCUCAGAAGUCACCCUCCCCACUCCCUGCCCCUGGAUUCUUUGGUAUGCCUCCCCCCAACAUUACCAGAGCUGGACCGGCCCCUUCCCCUACCUGCCCCAGAGCCCAUGAGGUAGGUGCCACUAGGCUGGAGGCAGUCUCCUUGUGCAAAGCUCCCCAAGCCUGGGGAACAGGAGGAGCCUAGUAGAGGAAGCGGUGGGGACUCCACCUCCCAGAGCUCCCUGCCUCUUGAAGGGAAGGCUGGGAUCCCACCCCAACUUCCCUGACACCCUCCACCCUCCCACCCCCCAGUACAUACACACCUGAGAGAGAACCCCUCACUCCUUGCUCCCUCCGAGGGUCUUUUGCAGCCUGCGGCUGUGACCCUGCAGCCCACUGCUUCUGAGGCACCAAAGCCCUGCGGGCGGCUGGCUCCAAAGAGGGGGUCAGAAAGCAACAGGGGGAGGGGAGGGGGUGAAACAGAGCAGCCUUCCGGUCAGCACUCCUAGGCCAGCACAGGCCCUGGGUGCCAGGGCCCCUGAAAGGUCCCCCCCAGACACCCUCCCAGCCAGCGGGGGAGGCAGCAGACUCUAAGAAAUGCACGGGCAGGCAAGGAACUGCACAGAAGGCUGAGGUGGGAGAGAGAAAAAGUGGUGGUGGGGGCGGGGGGCAUGUCCCCUGCUUUGGACAAAGAUCAGAGUUGUGAAAUGGGCUGGGGGGUGGUGGGAGCAAACUGCUAAAGCCUCAUCAAGGGAAAAUUGGUGGGAAGGAGAGAAAUAUGGUUCUCGGAAGGGUUCCAAGCCUAGUGGAAAGUUCAGGCAGGACUGAGACUAAGCCCCCAAGGUCAGAGGAAACACCCCUGCCCAUCUCCCUCACCCUCUCCCAGCCCUGGAGCUCCAGACCUAGGACUCCGGGGGAAUGGGGAAGGCACAUUUCCUCACAGAGCCCCCCAAGUAAGGGAUGCUCACUCUUCCUCAGAGCCUCCAGCAGAGGCGGCUGAGGUCCAGUAGCUGAUUUUGUGGCCAGACUGUCUACCCAGAUGGAAUCCUCCUAGCAUAAGUCACUGGGGACCUCUGCCAAGGCAGGGCCAAGGGACAUGACCUUUCUGGAGACUUUCUGCUUAGGUCACCUUCCCAUUUGGGCCCUCCCAGCCUACUUUCUGGGUCUCAAGAAGGAAUUGGGCAAGGGCAUCCUAACUCUGGAUAGCCCUUCACAGAAAACACUCAGCGGAGGGGUUGGGUGGGGCAGGGGGUGGGGAGCAGCAGGAGAGGAAUAAGGCCUCCCCUCUCUCAAACCCCACAGCCCACUCCCCAGAUUCAUGCCUAGGCCUCGGCCCUGGAGAGGAAGCCCUUAGGAAUACAUUCUGCUUCUGACCAGGAAUAGCUGGGGUUUCAGUGAGGCCUCUGGGUCUUCCUCUCCCCUUCCCCUAAGUCUCAUUUUUUGAGUCUCUGGGAGAAUUUGGUCCCCUGGAUGGAGUGUGAGGGGGCGGGGGGACAGGUGUGAGGGGCACACAGGAGAGCAGCCAAAGUCUAACAUUCUUUCUGAGGUCAGUUUCUUCCUGAGUUGUCAAAAUAAAAAGAAAAACAGCAAAUUCUACACAUUUUACAAAAAUAAGAAGCCUAAAAUAUGAAACAAGCUACAUUUCUGGGAUCUCCCCUCAAAAACAAACAAAAAAUUCCCCUUCUUUGGGGACUUUUUUUCUUUGAUCCCCCUAGACCCUAGGUUUCAGAUGGGUAGAGGGGGAUAGAGAGCUGGGGAGGGAGGGGCAGGAGAGAAACAGGGCCAGCAUGGGGGGCAGGGGUGUCAGCGACAAAACAAAAGGGAGAGAAAGCCAAGAGAAUGCAGAGAAUGGGGUGGAGAGAGUGAGGGAGAAGGAGGGUGCCAUUCAGAUAGCGAGGAGACAAAAGCAUUGUGGCAAGAGAGCAGGA